rnacentral:tRNA from 2 species
UCUUAGGUGACUGAGUUUAAGUGCUAGACUUUUAAUCUAGAUACGGCUGGGAUUGGUAGCCCCUAGGAA